GACGAACGCUGGCGGCGUGCUUAACACAUGCAAGUCGAACGAAGUGGCGAACGGGUGAGUAACGCGUAAACAACCUGCCCUUCAGAGGGAGAGAACAGUUGAAAACGACUACUAAUACCGCAUACGAAAGGAGGGGCUUGCGUCUGAUUGGCUAGUUGGGGGGGUAACGGCCCACCAAGGCGAAGAUCAGUAGGCGGUCUGGGAGGGUGAACGGGCACAUUGGGAAUGGGACACGGGCCAGACUCCUAAGGGAGGCAGGAGUGGGGAAACUUUCGAAAAGGAAGAAAGUCUUACGGAGCAACGCCGCGGGAGGGAUGACGGCCUUCGGGUUGUAAAGCUUUGGUUAUCGGGACGCGGUACCGGAAUAGAAAGCCACGGCUAACUACGUGCCAGCCGCCGCGGUAAUUC
rnacentral:rRNA from 1 species